AUGAACGCUAGCUACAGGCUUAACACAUGCAAGUCGAGGGGCAGCAUGGUCUUAGCUUGCUAAGGCCGAUGGCGACCGGCGCACGGGUGAGUAACACGUAUCCAACCUGCCGUCUACUCUUGGACAGCCUUCUGAAAGGAAGAUUAAUACAAGAUGGCAUCAUGAGUCCGCAUGUUCACAUGAUUAAAGGUAUUCCGGUAGACGAUGGGGAUGCGUUCCAUUAGAUAGUAGGCGGGGUAACGGCCCACCUAGUCUUCGAUGGAUAGGGGUUCUGAGAGGAAGGUCCCCCACAUUGGAACUGAGACACGGUCCAAACUCCUACGGGAGGCAGCAGUGAGGAAUAUUGGUCAAUGGGCGAGAGCCUGAACCAGCCAAGUAGCGUGAAGGAUGACUGCCCUAUGGGUUGUAAACUUCUUUUAUAAAGGAAUAAAGUCGGGUAUGCAUACCCGUUUGCAUGUACUUUAUGAAUAAGGAUCGGCUAACUCCGUGCCAGCAGCCGCGGUAAUACGGAGGAUCCGAGCGUUAUCCGGAUUUAUUGGGUUUAAAGGGAGCGUAGAUGGAUGUUUAAGUCAGUUGUGAAAGUUUGCGGCUCAACCGUAAAAUUGCAGUUGAUACUGGAUAUCUUGAGUGCAGUUGAGGCAGGCGGAAUUCGUGGUGUAGCGGUGAAAUGCUUAGAUAUCACGAAGAACUCCGAUUGCGAAGGCAGCCUGCUAAGCUGCAACUGACAUUGAGGCUCGAAAGUGUGGGUAUCAAACAGGAUUAGAUACCCUGGUAGUCCACACGGUAAACGAUGAAUACUCGCUGUUUGCGAUAUACGGCAAGCGGCCAAGCGAAAGCGUUAAGUAUUCCACCUGGGGAGUACGCCGGCAACGGUGAAACUCAAAGGAAUUGACGGGGGCCCGCACAAGCGGAGGAACAUGUGGUUUAAUUCGAUGAUACGCGAGGAACCUUACCCGGGCUUAAAUUGCAGAUGAAUUACGGUGAAAGCCGUAAGCCGCAAGGCAUCUGUGAAGGUGCUGCAUGGUUGUCGUCAGCUCGUGCCGUGAGGUGUCGGCUUAAGUGCCAUAACGAGCGCAACCCUUGUUGUCAGUUACUAACAGGUUCUGCUGAGGACUCUGACAAGACUGCCAUCGUAAGAUGUGAGGAAGGUGGGGAUGACGUCAAAUCAGCACGGCCCUUACGUCCGGGGCUACACACGUGUUACAAUGGGGGGUACAGAGGGCCGCUACCACGCGAGUGGAUGCCAAUCCCAAAAACCUCUCUCAGUUCGGACUGGAGUCUGCAACCCGACUCCACGAAGCUGGAUUCGCUAGUAAUCGCGCAUCAGCCAUGGCGCGGUGAAUACGUUCCCGGGCCUUGUACACACCGCCCGUCAAGCCAUGGGAGCCGGGGGUACCUGAAGUGCGUAACCGCGAGGAGCGCCCUAGGGUAAAACUGGUGACUGGGGCU
rnacentral:rRNA from 1 species